CGUUUUGUAUUUAUUUUUGAAUAUUAAAAUGUUUUGAUUGUGCGCCGGUUCCCGCCUCCUUCUUCCCGAUGAGUAUGGAGAUUUUAAUAUUAUUACACUGUCGUCUUUCUGCGGUGCCCUUUAAGCGCGCAAAAAACCUGUAGGGAAUUCGCGCCUUAUAUACCAUAUAUGGUUUUGUUUUGUUUUUUUUGUUUUUUUUCUUGACAAGCAUCUGAAUCAGUUCAUUUCAUUUUCAUUUGCAAUGGUGUGUUCCUGUGAAUUACAAUGAAUACGUUUGACCGCGACAAUCUCCUACAAAAGAGCAAUUCACGUAGUGAAGUAUGGAAUUACUUCGGAUUUUUACCUGAUGAGACUGGAAAACCUAUUGAUGACGGAAAACCAGUCUGCCGUGAAUGCCUUACGAGAAUUCAAGCUAAAGGGGGAAACACCAGCAACCUCAUCAAGCACCUUUGGACACAUCCAACAUCUUAUGCAGAGUACACAAAGAAUCAGAACCAUGCUGCCCUAACUGGUGCCCAAAGCCACACAGGUAACCCUGCCACCAGCAAGUCGCAGCCCACCAUCGACAGCCUCUUUGAGAAAUCCAAGAAGUAUGAAGCAACAUCCAAAGAAGCAGCUGUUCUAAACAGAGCUGUGGCCGAAUUCAUUUGUCUUGACCAAAUACCAAUAUAUACAGUGGACAGGUUUGGAUUCAAGCAACUAGUCAAGAAGCUCAACAGCAAAUAUGAACUGCCCAGCAGGAACUUUUUCAUGAAUAAUGAAAUACCAAAAUUGUACACAGAAACUAGAGGGACAAUAAAAGCAGAACUUGAAGGAUCUGGAUUUUAUUCAUGUACUACAGACCUCUGGACCAGCAGAACAAUGCAGUCCUACAUGGCUGUAACUGCUCAGUUCAUAACAAUUCAUUGGCAAAUGCAGUCAUGGUGCCUGGGCUGUGCAGAACUUAAUAGUGACCACACAGCAGAGAGCAUAAGCGAGGCCUUCUCUGAGAUGUUGGAAGAGCAAUGGGGGCUCAAUUUACAUGAUUUACAUGAUUGUAACUGGAUUCCAUGCUUUGGGCAUAAUCUUGACUUGGCAGUUCACUAGGGCCUCAAUGUUGAUCAUGUAGGCAGUACCUUGUCUCGGCUUAGAAGAACUGUAUCUGCUUUUUCGCGAUCCGCCAAGCUGACAAGACAGUUAAAGUCAAAGCAGGCUGACCUUGGUGUACCACAACACAAACUGAUACAUGACGAACCUACCCGUUGGGGGUCCGCAUGUGACAUGGUGGAACGCUUUUUAGAACAGCAGCAAGCUGUUUGUGCUGUGUUAGCUGAUAACAGAAACAAGUGGCACCUCAUGCCUAAAGACCUGGAUGUUACUACAAUGGAAGCACUGAAAAAUGUGCUUGGACAUCUAAGGGAUUUUACUGAUGCACUAAGUGGAGAGCAGCAUCCCACAAUUUCCUCAGUCCUGCCACUGCUCUGGAAAACUGAAUCAAUUUUGAUAGCGUCUGCCUCUGACAGCCAACUAAGUUCUCGUAUCAAGGAUUGCAUAAGGUCUGAUCUGCAAAACAGAUACAAUCAGAAAGAGAUACAGACAACGUUGAACUGUUGUACAUUUUUAGAUCCGAGAUUCAAAGACACCUUUGUAUCUAAUGUACAAGAGGUGGAAGCACGGUUUCAGCAGCAGGUUGAGAAAAGCUUAAUGCAUGCAAUCCCAUCAGUGAAGAUCCCAAAUCAGCCUAAUUUCGGGUGUCCAAAAUCAGGGCUAAGUGGACUUUUGGCAGGUAUUAUGAAUGAGAAACGAGGAGCAACGCCAUGCACAACUGAGGAUGAUGUUACUGUCUCUGCAGCAGAACCACAGCAAAAGCUAAGGAGGGAGUUGGAAAUAUACAACAAAAUCCCAGAGACAGAUGCGAGAGAUGACCCACUCAAAUGGUGGAGGCAAAAUGAGG